CACGUAGGGGUCUAGCGUUGUCCGGAAUUAUUGGGCGUAAAGAGCUCGUAGGCGGUUUGUCGCGUCGGCUGUGAAAACUCGGGGCUCAACCCCGAGCCUGCAGUCGAUACGGGCAGACUAGAGUGCUGUAGGGGAGACUGGAAUUCCUGGUGUAGCGGUGAAAUGCGCAGAUAUCAGGAGGAACACCGGUGGCGAAGGCGGCCUUCUGGACGAGUGACUGACGCUGAGACGCGAAAGCGUGGGGAGCAAACAGG
rnacentral:rRNA from 1 species